GACGAACGCUGGCGGCGUGCUUAACACAUGCAAGUCGAGCGGUAAGGCCUUCGGGUACACGAGCGGCGAACGGGUGAGUAACACGUGGGUGAUCUGCCCUGCACUCUGGGAUAAGCUUGGGAAACUGGGUCUAAUACCGGAUAUGGCCUCAUGCCGCAUGGUGUGGGGUGGAAAGAUUUAUCGGUGCAGGAUGGGCCCGCGGCCUAUCAGCUUGUUGGUGGGGUAAUGGCCUACCAAGGCGACGACGGGUAGCCGGCCUGAGAGGGCGACCGGCCACACUGGGACUGAGACACGGCCCAGACUCCUACGGGAGGCAGCAGUGGGGAAUAUUGCACAAUGGGCGGAAGCCUGAUGCAGCGACGCCGCGUGAGGGAUGACGGCCUUCGGGUUGUAAACCUCUUUCAGUAGGGACGAAGCGUGAGUGACGGUACCUACAGAAGAAGCACCGGCCAACUACGUGCCAGCAGCCGCCGCAGUAA
rnacentral:rRNA from 1 species